rnacentral:lncRNA from 1 species
UUUUAGUGAGUUAUGAAGUAGUUAAAAUUAACGUCUGAAUUAGAUGGAAUUUCAGCAAUUGGGCAUGAUUUAUAAAAAUUGGAAACUUUAGGGGGUAAAUUUUCAAAAUUAAAAGUGUGGGGGUGAAACGAUGUCAACCCCAAACCUUAAGGGGUAAACUACGUAGUUAAUUUAAUGCAAUUCUAUAAAAUUUGUUAUAUCAUGCAACAAGUUGAUAUAUGUUGUGGUGGAGGAGUCACUACUACAGAUUUGUCAACACACAACGGUGGACUAUAGGUUUUCCGUUGUAUAUAUCGGGCUUGUCUGAUUGAAUCUUUAGACAAGUGUGAAAAUCACCGUUGUGUGAUUAUAUUUUGCUCAACAGUUCAAUAUUUUCGUUGUAUAAGUCACUGCGCAGAUCGAUGCCAUGCGCGACAUCGACAAGUCCACUCAGACAACAAACAAUAAAACAUUUUCGUUGUAUUUUUACCCUUUCAGACAACUGUUGGUUUUUAUUUCUACUGUUGUGUGUUUUUCAGUAAGCUACAACGGUUUAUUCCCUAUCUUUACUGUUGUGUGAAGUUGAAUAACCUACAACUGAAAUAUUUGGACCGUUGUAUCACACAAUAGAUAUAGCAUUCUGCUUUCUUGUUUGAUGAGAAUCAUACGACAGUUGCAUUUUCAUGUGGACAGACUUUGUUGUCCAAGUUUUACUCACACAAACAUCACAAAAGAAACUGCUGCACAAAUUGACUGAUACCAUAAAACAUUGCAUUUCAGCUUUCAUAUAUAUCAUUCAAGCUUCCACAAACAACAUUACAGCUAAAUAAUAAACUGAAAACAAGCAACUAGUUAAGCUCCUAGAUAGUCUUACAUGUCCAAAAGCAUUCCAACAUGAGAAAUGCACAAAGUACGUACUACCAUAUAGUUGUUCCGAAUAUAUAGAAACACCAAGUUCAAAAGCAAAGUACUACCACAUACAUAUAGAAAACACCAAGUUCACCAAAACAAACCAGAUCAUGUACCCUACAGGUAUUUGCUGAUGAUGAACUUUGCCCACUCAUUCCUUAACAAAUUCAAAUCAUCUUGGGUGUAGACAAGUUUGUUUCUCCUAUCCCACUGAAAAACAUAAUGUUAAAGUUAGACAUGAACAUGACAUUAUCCUAAAAAUCUGAUUCCCAACACAAACACAAAUAGUAGUUGAUAUGAGAUAUCAAAUAGUAGUUCAAAUUUCUAAAGAGUAAAGAAAUGUAACACAAAUCUUUGCUCACUUUUAGUCUAACAUAU